CCACACAACCAGCAAGAAGGAA
rnacentral:miRNA from 1 species